AACAAUACAAAGAAUUAAAAUAAAUUAUUUCUGAAAAACGUAAAGAAUUAAAAAUAAGAAUAAAAAGACUACAUUAUAAUAUAUUUGCCGGAGUUAGUAAAAACUCAAUAGAUACACAAAAAGAUGAAAUAUCAAAAUUAGAAUCACAAAUAGAUAGUUUAGAAUAUAUAUAUCAACAUGAACUAUUCACAAUAAAAUGAAUAAAGAAGAAUUUAUAAUAGAUGAAAAAAUAUAUGAAAACCACGAAGGAUUAAAAAUAAAAAUAGUAUUUUCUAAUCUAGGAAGAAGAUAUAAGAAAAUAGGUGAACAUCUAUAUCUAAUGUUAGAGAANNN
rnacentral:lncRNA from 1 species